AGAACUUGAAACCGUGUGCUUACAAGUAGUCAGAGCCCGUUAAUGGGUGAUGGCGUGCCUUUUGUAGAAUGAACCGGCGAGUUACGAUUUGAUGCAAGGUUAAGCAGUGAAUGUGGAGCCGUAGCGAAAGCGAGUCUGAAUAGGGCGUUGAGUAUUUGGUCGUAGACCCGAAACCAGGUGAUCUACCCUUGACCAGGUUGAAGUUCAGGUAACACU
rnacentral:rRNA from 1 species